UAAAUGGGGAGCUUGUAACAGCAGGCUGAGAGGAAGUCUUCAACUUCGACCCUUAUACCUGAUUUGGAUAAUGCCAACGUAGGGAAAUU
rnacentral:ncRNA from 1 species